rnacentral:lncRNA from 12 species
GGGCAUCCCUGUCAUCUGCAGUGAGUCAACCUGCGGCCAGCCCGCAUCCUGGGCCCUGGCUUGCGCGCCCUGGGAUGCUGUCUGCACCGCGUGCCAGGCCCCCGGGCUCUGCGGCCUGCCGCCUCGUCUCCCAUCCUCCUGGCCGGCUCCCCUUCCCUCUGUAGGGGGUCAUCUGAUUGGCGUUGGGACCUGCCUUGAAUAAUUACGUGGCAGCUGGAACCCUGGCCCGAGGAUUCUCACUUGUCUCGCUGUCCCAGGAUAAAUUACCGUCCCAAAUGCGGACUCUCCAUACUGCGCCGGAGAAGUGAACACAGUGACACGGUUGCUUCACACAAGGCAGUCGGGGCACAGGGCCAUUCCUCGUGGACGAAAUGGGACAAACAAGCGGCAUGAUGGUAUAGAAACCGCCGGAAACCAUACAAAAUCCAACAGGAGUGGGAGGCCUCUCUCCACCCCGGACAGAUCAAGUAGGUGUAACAAGGAUUAGGAAUUUAGAAUCUGGGCAUAAUGAAAUUAAUAAGAUAAUAAUACGAUUCAUCUCCCGCGUCGCGUGUGCAUCCGACAGGCAGGGUGCGCGCUCCUGGACGGACGCGGGAAGC